GAGUUGGGAGGAAAGCGGCGGCGGUGGCGGCUUCAACAGCAGCUCUUGCCCUUAAGGAACAAUGAAACACAAAGAUGGUGCAGACCCAGGCCCUGCUUUGACUGGGAGAAAGAUGCAUUCAGUUGACUAAAACUUGAAAGAUGUUUGAAAUACAACAAAAUAGUUGGAAGAAUCUCCCAACACAGUUGGAAGACUAUCUACUGGGGAGAAGUGUUCAGUAUCAUAAAGAUAACAUCUCAUCCAGAGGAAAGUGCCACAGCAUGUUCCGAAGAGAUGAUUGGAAGAUGGAAGUGGAGGGUUAAAUAAUGAAAUGCAGCUAACAUUUCGGAAAGUUUCUAAAAGUUGUACAACAUGCCCUACAGCUACUCUUUAAAUCUCCAAAUCAAAUGAGUUUCAGGUGGAGCCUCUGGGAGGUGAUGAGGUCAUGAGAGUGGAGCCUCAUGAAUGGGAUGAGCACUCCUACAAAAAGGAUUCCAGAGAGCUCGCUUGCUCCUUCCACAGUGUGAGGACACAGAGGGAAGGCUCUGUCUAUGAAUGAGAAAGUGGGUCCCCACCAGACAUUGAAUCUGCCGCAUCUUGAUACUGGACUUCCAGUCUCCAGAACUGUGGGCAAUAAAUGUCUGUUGUUUAUUACCUGUCCAGUAUCUUUGGUAUUUUGCUAUAGCAACCCAAAUGGACUAAGAAAACACCAGAGGCCAUACCUAAUAAAAAUAUUGACAUCACAA
rnacentral:lncRNA from 10 species